rnacentral:rRNA from 1 species
GACGAACGCUGGCGGCGUGCCUAAUACAUGCAAGUUGAGCGAUGAAGAUUGGUGCUUGCACCUAUUUGAAGAGCAGCGAACGGGUGAGUAACGCGUGGGGAAUCUGCCUUUGAGCGGGGGACAACAUUUGGAAACGAAUGCUAAUACCGCAUAACAACUUUAAACAUAAGUUUUAAGUUUGAAAGAUGCAAUUGCAUCACCCAAAGAUGAUCCCGCGUUGUAUUAGCUAGUUGGUGAGGUAAAGGCUCACCAAGGCGAUGAUACAUAGCCGACCUGAGAGGGUGAUCGGCCACAUUGGGACUGAGACACGGCCCAAACUCCUACGGGAGGCAGCAGUAGGGGAUCUUCGGCAAUAGACGAAAGUCUGACCGAGCAACGCCGCGGGAGUGGAGGAGGUUGUCGGAUCGUAAAACUCUGUUGGUAGGGAAGAACGUUAGUGAGAGUGGAAAGCUCAUCAAGUGACGGUAACUACCCAGAAAGGGACGGCUAACUACGUG